rfam:Glycine soja cultivar W05 scaffold1419_39, whole genome shotgun sequence.
GUUAUGUUCGAUGAUAACUUCCCAUGUCAUGUUAUGAUUGGAUGUCAACUCCAUAGAAGAUGAAAUACAUUGUUAUUUUUAUUGAUCAAUCAGAACAUGACACAUGAUCGUCAUCAUCC